rnacentral:lncRNA from 1 species
UAAAAAUACAAAAAAAAAAUUAGUCGGGCGUGGUGGCGCGCGCCUGUAAUCCCAGCUACUCCGGAGGCUGAGGCAGGAGAAUCCCUUGAACCCGGGAGGCGGAGCUUGCAGUGAGCCGAGAUUGCACCACUGCACUCCAGCCUGGGUGACAGAACAAGACUCCUUCUCAAAAAAAAAAAAAAAAAAAAAAAAGACAGGAACACCCCACCACAGGCUGCUGGGCAGUGGGGCUGGGAAGGGCCCAAUGAACCAGGGGAGCCCCACUCUGGGAGUGCGCCUACUCCAGGCCCUCACCCCGCCCCAGCCCUGCCUCCUCCUCCUGCCCGUCUCCCAGGCUGCUCUCACCCGCCCGGUGUGCUGGCUCCUCUCUCACGUUAGAGGAACACCUAAGCCCUCCCAGACGGCCAACAGUCCCAUUGCCCCCUUUAUACUGCAGACCGCCCCAAGGAGUUCUCCAAAAUCCUGGUCUUCAUCUCCCUCCUCUGGGGGCACCCGGCGUCUGUGCCACCAUAUGGGGGUCCCCAAGACCUCCAUGUGCAGCCGGCUCUAGGGUUGGGCUUCUCCUCAGCACCCAGGACCCCCAAGGACCCCAUCUUCAAGGCUCCUGGCCCACCCAGGGCCACUGGGCAUGUGGCAUUCGCCAGCUUGCUGGAAUCCGGGAAUGUGAUGGAGGCGCGAGGAGGAGGUGAGAGCACGAGGAGGAGGUGAGGGCGCAGGGAGGAGGUGGGAGCACGCAGAGGAGGUGAGGACGCGGGGAGGAGGUGAGGACGCGGGGAGGAGGUGAGGGCGCGGGGAGGAGGUGAGGGCGCGCGGAGGAGGUGAGGGCGCGGGGAGGAGGUGAGGGCGCGGGGAGGAGGUGGGAGCAUGCGGAGGAGGUGAGGGCGCGCGGAGGAGGUGAGGGCACAGACACAGGCCCACCCCAUGAAGAUGAAAUGCCUGACGGCCUCAUGGCUGUCAGCGGAGCCCGGAGCAGAUCUCAGCCCUGUCUGUGUAUAAACAAGCGCUGCUCCAAGGAGACGCCAGGACGAAUGUCAGGACAUAGGGAGGAAAGGACAGUGGAAUCCCACAACUCAGACACGUGGGGGGCGGGGGGCAGAGGGCGGGACCCGGGGAGGCUCACACCACACACGCAGGUGCCAAAGAGCGAGGAAGACUGAGCGUCACAGACGAAGGUCCGACAAGAGAGCCUGGAAAUGGAACGGCAGAGGGAAAUCUCAAAAGCAAGGACAGAGAUUCACAAGCUGGAGGCCCAAGAAGCCACCGAGCUGAUGGACAAA